GGAGGCUUAACAAGUGCUCUAGGUACAUCAGAGAGACUUCACUGUGACACAGUAAUGGGCCUCUGCCCCAGGAAAGAUUAGAACUCCAAAACCCUUUUUCCUUGCCUCUUGAAGGAUACUUUUAUGUUUGACAGGGAGUCAAGAUCCUGUCUAUACCAGAAGUAAAGGCAUUCCGGCAUAUUUACACUCAAGAUAUUGCAUGGAUUGGAAACAAGAAGGCAUGUAUGUAGGCAACAAACUUUCAUAGUUGCAUCUUUCCUGUUGAUGUUUACAUUCAGGAUUUCAUUAUUUUAUCAGAUCCUAAAUCUUCUGAAUCAACAUAUAUUAAGGAUUGCAUUGGCUAUUUGGGGUCUUUUCUGGCACCUCAGCCACAGCAACUUCUUACUCAACGUGUCUCUGGAGGCAAGGGAAACAAAAGCAAAAAUGAACUAUUGGGACCUCAUCAAGAUAAAAAAAAAAAAAAACUUCUGUAUGGCAAAAGAAAUGAUCAGCAAAACUAAAAGGCAACCAAUGGAAUGGGAGAAGAUAUUUGCAAACGACAUAUCAGAUAAAGGGUUAAUAUCCAAAAUCUAUAAAGACAUUAUCAAAAUCAACACCCAAAAAACAACUAAUCCAGUGAAGAAAUGGGCAGAAGACAUGGAUAGACAUUUUUCCGAAGAAGACUUCCAGAUGGCUAACAGACACAUGAGAAGACGCUUCAACAUCACUCAUCAUCAGGGAAAUACAAAUCAAAACCACAGUGAGAUAUCACCUCACAUCUGUCAGAAUGGUUAACAUUAACAACUCAGGCAAUGACACAUGUUGGCAAAGUUGUAGAGAAAGAAGAACACUUUUGCACUGCUGGUUGGAAUGCAAACUGGUACAGACACUCUGGAAAACAAUAUGGAGGUUCCUCAAAAAAUUAACUACACUAUGACCCAGCAAUUGCACUACUAGAUAUUUAUCCAAAGGAUACAGGUAUGCUGUUUGGAAGGGGCACAUUCACCCCAAUGUUUAUAGCAGCGCUAUUGACAAUAGCCAUAGUAUGGUAAGAGCCCAAAUGUCCAUCAACUGAUGAAUGGGUAAAGAAGAUGUGGUGUGUGUGUGUGUGUGUGUGUGUGUGUGUGUGUGUAUACACAUAUAUACAUAUA